CAGAUCUCCAGAUCUUCAGCGUUCUCAGGAGGAUUGAUCCAGCAGGGCAGAAUCACUGUGGAUCCCACAUGAGCCACUACAGGAUCACGAGGAACCACUACACUGAAUGACACUGAGAACAGAGAACAUCAAAUGCAAUCAACUGAUGGCUUUGCCCCCCCAAAUCAGCAGCUGGCGAUGUGACCAAGAAGAAGAAAAGCAAGAAAUCAAAUGAAGACACCUUAAAGAGGAUCAGCCCAACCAAACCCAGGACAGCAAAAAUAGAAAAGUUCUAAGAGAAAGUGAACAUGAGACCAGUUGAGCGUCUAAGCGAGAGACGGCCGUCCAGCUGUGGACAGAGAACAUCCCGUCUGCUCCACGACUGUGAGAUGAUCCUCCAGGAUGGAGAACCUUUCCAUCACCUGA